UGCCGAAUAAAGAGGACAGAGUGACGUCACUGUGGACAGGUGAGCAGCCAGGUGAGGACAGGGACAACAGGAGGCUGCUACUGAGGACCUGCCAACAGGACACCUGGAGAUGGGGACGGAGAUGGAGAUGGAGUCGAACCUACAUCUGCUACGUCACGGUGACUAACCAUCGAGGAAAUCCCUCUCAAACUGAAAGCGAGUGAAUGUGUGCUGCCUUUGCCCCGGCAGUAAAUGUCAGCGCUCUGCUGAUUGAAUGCACGUCGACAGAGAUAACUGUGGGGCAGCAUGCUGUCAGGGCAGAGGGAGAGCGGCCCAGUGACCUAGACUCCUCACUCACCUCCAGCUCUGCCGGCCCGCUGGCCAAAACCAAACCGCUCUACAUUCACUUCAAACUGUUUCAUCUGUGACUCAUUCUUAAUCGUCUUGUGACCUGUUUCGGGGAAAAAUCAUCAGUUGACUGUACCUGUGAUUGCCUAACGUUUCUGAAUUUGCACCAAAAUGAAAUGAAUAAAAUCCCUUUUAUUCAGUACGGCAGAAAGCUUUCACACUAGAAAGGAAGAAUGAUGUGCAGCGGUGCGUGACCCAGACCUGAACUAUGCACGAUUCCACAUGUAGCAAUAGUUUUUGCCAUAAAAAACACACACGGACGUGAUUUUGUCAGUGGAAAGUACAGCAUUGCAGCUUUGAGGUGCUCUCAGUGCGAGCAAUUGAUAUUAUUUAUGGCUUUAUAAAUAUCUGUUGCUGAUGUUUCCAACAUUUACCGUGCCAACAGCAUUUUAAAAAUACUGCAAGGUAGAUGUGCUGACCUAGUUGUGUAAUAAAGCAUUACGGGAAUA